UACGUAGGGGGCAAGCGUUGUCCGGAAUUAUUGGGCGUAAAGAGCUCGUAGGCGGUUUUGUCGCGUCUGCUGUGAAAACUCGGGGCUUAACUCCGGGCCUGCAGUGGGUACGGGCAGACUAGAGUGCGGUAGGGGAGACUGGAAUUCCUGGUGUAGCGGUGAAAUGCGCAGAUAUCAGGAGGAACACCGGUGGCGAAGGCGGGUCUCUGGGCCGUAACUGACGCUGAGGAGCGAAAGCGUGGGGAGCGAACAGG
rnacentral:rRNA from 1 species